GUCGCGGUCGCAUAACUUGGUAUUGCACAGGCCUGGAAAGCCUGACCAGAAAUGGUAUCUGGGUUCAAAUCCCAGCCGCGACG
rnacentral:tRNA from 1 species